UCGGGGUUGUAAACCUUUUUCCAGCACAAGCCGGAGGCGCCAAGUGACGGGUAUGUGCAAGAAGAAGGACCCGGCCAAAUUACGUGCCCAGCAGCCGCGGGUAAUACGUAGGGUCCGAGCGUUGUCCGGAAUUACUGGGCGUAAAGAGCUCGUAGGUGGUUUGUCGCGUUGUUCGUGAAAACUCACAGCUCAACUGUGGGCGUGCGGGCGAUACGGGCAGACUAGAGUACUGCAGGGGAGACUGGAAUUCCUGGUGUAGCGGUGGAAUGCGCAGAUAUCAGGAGGAACACCGGUGGCGAAGGCGGGUCUCUGGGCAGUAACUGACGCUGAGGAGCGAAAGCGUGGGGAGCGAACAGGAUUAGAUACCCUGGUAGUCCACGCCGUAAACGGUGGGUACUAGGUGUGGGUUUCCUUCCUUGGGAUCCGUGCCGUAGCUAACGCAUUAAGUACCCCGCCUGGGGAGUACGGCCGCAAGGCUAAAACUCAAAGAAAUUGACGGGGGCCCGCACAAGCGGCGGAGCAUGUGGAUUAAUUCGAUGCAACGCGAAGAACCUUACCUGGGUUUGACAUGCACAGGACGUGCCUAGAGAUAGGUAUUCCCUUGUGGCCUGUGUGCAGGUGGUGCAUGGCUGUCGUCAGCUCGUGUCGUGAGAUGUUGGGUUAAGUCCCGCAACGAGCGCAACCCUCGUCCUAUGUUGCCAGCGGGUUAUGCCGGGGACUCGUAGGAGACUGCCGGGGUCAACUCGGAGGAAGGUGGGGAUGACGUCAAGUCAUCAUGCCCCUUAUGUCCAGGGCUUCACACAUGCUACAAUGGCCGGUACAAAGGGCUGCGAUGCCGUGAGGUGGAGCGAAUCCUUUCAAAGCCGGUCUCAGUUCGGAUCGGGGUCUGCAACUCGACCCCGUGAAGUCGGAGUCGCUAGUAAUCGCAGAUCAGCAACGCUGCGGUGAAUACGUUCCCGGGCCUUGUACACACCGCCCGUCACGUCAUGAAAGUCGGUAACACCCGAA
rnacentral:rRNA from 1 species